CCUACGGGUGGCUGCAGUGGGGAAUAUUGGGCAAUGGGCGCAAGCCUGACCCAGCAACGCCGCGUGAAGGAAGAAGGCUUUCGGGUUGUAAACUUCUUUUAUCAGGGACGAAGCAAGUGACGGUACCUGAUGAAUAAGCCACGGCUAACUACGUGCCAGCAGCCGCGGUAAUACGUAGGUGGUAAGCGUUAUCCGGAUUUACUGGGUGUAAAGGGCGUGUAGGCGGGAAAGCAAGUCAGAUGUGAAAACCAUGGGCUCAACCUGUGGCCUGCAUUUGAAACUGUUUUUCUUGAGUACUGGUGAGGCAGACGGAAUUCCUAGUGUAGCGGUGAAAUGCGUAGAUAUUAGGAAGAACACCAGUGGCGAAGGCGGCUUUCUGGACUGAAACUGACGCUGAGGCACGAAAGCGUGGGGAGCGAACAGGAUUAGAUACCCCUGUAGUC
rnacentral:rRNA from 1 species